AUUGAACGCUGGCGGCAUGCUUUACACAUGCAAGUCGAACGGUAACAGGCCUUCGGGUGCUGACGAGUGGCGAACGGGUGAGUAAUGCAUCGGAACGUACCCAGAGGUGGGGGAUAACGCAGCGAAAGCUGUGCUAAUACCGCAUGUGAUCUGAGGAUGAAAGCGGGGGACCGAGCAGCAAUGUUUGGCCUCGCGCCUUUGGAGCGGCCGAUGUCGGAUUAGCUAGUUGGUGGGGUAAAGGCCUACCAAGGCGACGAUCCGUAGCUGGUCUGAGAGGACGACCAGCCACACUAGGACUGAGACACGGCCCAGACUCCUACGGGAGGCAGCAGUGGGGAAUUUUGGACAAAGGGCGCAAGCCUGAUCCAGCAAUGCCGCGUGCGGGAAGAAGGCCUUCGGGUUGUAAACCGCUUUUGGCAGGAACGAAACGGUGUCCGCUAAUACCGGGCGCUAAUGACGGUACCUGCAGAAUAAGCACCGGCUAACUACGUG
rnacentral:rRNA from 1 species